UGUAGGAGCGAGCUUGCUCGCGAUGGCCUGUCAGUCGCCCAGUGGUGUCUGACCCACCAUCGCGAGCAGGCUCGCUCCUACA
rnacentral:misc_RNA from 1 species